CGCCCGGUGACCAUAGCGAAUUGGAACCACUCCUUCCCAUCCCGAACAGGACAGUGAAACGAUUCUACGCCGAUGAUAGUGCGGAUUACCCGUGUGAAAGUAGGUAACUGCCGGGCAC
rnacentral:rRNA from 1 species